AGAAUUUCAGUAGACUCCUCGUGCAGUCUGAGGAGGCAGUUUCCUAUCUGGUUUGACUUAAGGGGCUGCAGAAGACAUUCUUAUCCCACAUAUUUCUUCUGCUGAUCAGUCAGCAACUGAAAUUCCAACUAAUGGAUUCCAUUCUUCCAGUUAAGACAUCAUCUCCAGAAAACUGUGCUAGUUGGCAUCCAGCAGUGCCCAAGUAUUAUUUAACCCACUAGAACCUGUGACUGCAUCAGCUUUAUAUCCUGGACCUCAGCCUGGAACAAAGGAGAGCUACACUUGGAUACUAAACACAAGUGGUCUGGAUAGAUUAUGCUGGGAAAAGAAGCCUGGAGCAGGCAGUACAGUGGGAGAACAAGACAGAAGUGCUUGCCUUGGUGAUCCAAAAAAGGCAGGAUCCGGCCGGGGGCAAGGUGAUUAUUCUGUCUGAUGAGGAGAAUAAGAGCCAGUUUGUGGUAUUGACAGAAGAAUGAAAGUAAAGGAGGCAAAACCAGUUCAACCAAUCUACAAAGGCCAAAAAUAUUUUCACAGGCCCCCAAAAGAUGAACUCCAAUCUGCUGCCCCUAAACGCAUUCUCCACUGUCUGGAAGAUGUGCAAAGGCAACGGCACAGCGUUCUCCAUCUCAAAUCCUUCAAAGUGCUGUCAGAAUAAAAGAAUCCCCACCAAAAGCCCCAGGGAAAUCUAUCUGUCUGUAUGGUAUGGUAAUGACUGAGGUUAUUCCAGAUAGGAUUCUGGGAGAAACUCAGCUAUUGAAAUCUAAUGAAUGGAACUGAGAAUUUCUUGUUAUAAUACUGUUUGUUUGAUUGAAUAUAUCCUUGCAUAUAGGAAGACAUAAAAAUAAAUAAUAAAAGCAAGAUAUUAUUUGAA
rnacentral:lncRNA from 1 species